rnacentral:rRNA from 1 species
GACGAACGCUGGCGGCGUGCCUAAUACAUGCAAGUCGAACGAGUGGCGGACGGGUGAGUAACACGUGGGAACCUACCCAUCAGAGGGGGCUAACACUUGGAAACGGUAGCUAAUACCGCAUACCAUCGGAUGUGCCCAGAUGGGCUGAGCUCGUAGGUGGGGUAAAGGCUCACCUCGGCGACGAUCCCUAGAUGGUCUGCGAGGAUGACCAGCAACACUGGAACUGAGACACGGUCCAGACUCCUACGGGAGGCAGCAGUGGGGAAUAGUGCACAUUGGGCGCAAGCCUGAUGCAGCCAUGCCGCGUGUAUGAAGAAGGCCUGCGGGUUGUAAAGUACUUUCAGCGAGGAGGCGUUACUCGCAGAAGAAGCACCGGCUAACUCCGUGCCAGCAGCCGCGGUAAUUC